rnacentral:rRNA from 1 species
CGUUCGCCUUCGGGCGAGCUACCGAAAGGGGCGGUAAUACCGGAUGAUGUCAUUCGUCGAUAGGUGAAUGACCAAAGAUUUAUCGGCAUAGGAGCGGCCUACCUCCUAUCAGCUGGUUGGUGAGGUAAUGGCUCACCAAGGCUAUGACGGGUAGCGGGACUGAGAGGUUGGCCCGCCACAUCGGGACUGAGACACUGCCCGGACCCCCACGGGGGGCUGCAGUAACGAAUCUUGGGCAAUGGGCGAAAGCCUGACCCAGCGACGCCGCGUGUAUGAGGAAGUCCUUCGGGAUGUAAAGUACUGUCAGGGCUAAGAAAGUUCGCUUCGGCGGAUUGAUCUAACCCAAAGGAAGUCACGGCUAACUUCGUGCCAGCAGCCGCGGUAAGACGAAGGUGGCAAGCGUUGUUCGGUAUCACUGGGCUUAAAGAGUGUGUAGGCGGAAAAGUAAGCGUCGUGUGAAAUCCCCCGGCUUAACCGGGGAAUUGCUCGAUGAACUGCUUUUCUUGAGGCAAGUAGGGGUGCACGGAACUCUUGGUGGAGCGGUGGAAUGCGUAGAUAUCAAGAGGAACGCCGGCGGUGAAGACGGUGCACUGGGCUUGUCCUGACGCUGAGACACGAAAGCGUGGGUAGCGAACGGGAUUAGAUACCCCGGUAGUCCACGCCGUAAACGAUGCCUACUAGGUUGUGGUGGUUCUGACGCCGGCACAGCCGAAGCAAAAGUGUUAAGU